AUUGAACGCUGGCGGCAUGCCUUACACAUGCAAGUCGAACGGUAACAGGUCUUCGGAUGCUGACGAGUGGCGAACGGGUGAGUAAUACAUCGGAACGUGCCCGAGAGUGGGGGAUAACGAAGCGAAAGCUUUGCUAAUACCGCAUACGAUCUCAGGAUGAAAGCAGGGGACCGCAAGGCCUUGCGCUCACGGAGCGGCCGAUGGCAGAUUAGGUAGUUGGUGGGAUAAAAGCUUACCAAGCCGACGAUCUGUAGCUGGUCUGAGAGGACGACCCGCUACACUGGGGCUGAGACACGGCCCAGACUCCUACGGGAGGCAGCAGUGGGUAAUUUUGGACAAUGGGCGCAAGCCUGAUCCAGCCAUGCCGCGUGCAGGAUGAAGGCCUUCGGGUUGUAAACUGCUUUUGUACGGAACGAAAAGACUCUGGUUAAUACCUGGGGUCCAUGACGGUACCGUAAGAAUAAGCACCGGCUAACUACGUGCCAGCCGCCGCAGUAAAAC
rnacentral:rRNA from 1 species